rnacentral:rRNA from 1 species
CGGCGGACGGGUGAGUAACACGUGGAUAACCUACCUAUAAGACUGGGAUAACUUCGGGAAACCGGAGCUAAUACCGGAUAAUAUAUUGAACCGCAUGGUUCAAUAGUUAAAGACGGUUUUGCUGUCACUUAUAGAUGGAUCCGCGCCGCAUUAGCUAGUUGGUAAGGUAACGGCUUACCAAGGCAACGAUGCGUAGCCGACCUGAGAGGGUGAUCGGCCACACUGGAACUGAGACACGGUCCAGACUCCUACGGGAGGCAGCAGUU